rnacentral:lncRNA from 1 species
UCAUUACUCUCGCUCUCACUCUCACUCUUGUUUUGGAUUAUUAUUAUGCUGAUUUGAUAUUUCAUUCAUUCACCUUUUUCUGUUCUUUUUUUUUUUUUUUCAAAUUUGAUACAAAUGCUAGUCCCUAGAAUCAAUAAGGGUUUCAUAGACUCUUCGGUAUGUCCAUGAUGAAGGCUUUGGUUAAUGACAUUUUUGUACGAGUAAUACUGGGGAUACCAAUAAUUGAGUUCCCACAGAUGUGGCAUUCAAUUAAUAGAUGGCAGAAUAUUAAUUUUACCAAUUAUGAAAUUCAUUAUCUGUGAAAAUAGGUAGAGAAAAAGUUUAUGGAACAAUUCUUAAUUUUAUUACUUCAUGAGUUUGUACACAGUCUUAAUAUAGGGAUACAAGAGACUAAGAAAGGAAAGGAAAAAAAUUAAAGCAGAAUAUUACACACUGAUUUCUAGGAAGCAAUAACUCUAUAUUUACACCAAAUAUACACCUAAAUAUAUAAGGAAAACCAAAUCACAAUUUGAUUUGGUCAACCUUUCAACACUCCCCCUCAAGCUGGUCUAAAAAUGUCUUUCAAGGCCAGCUUGCAAACCAAUUUCUCAAAAUGUUUCUUAGGUAGUCCCUUGGUGAGUAUAUCAGCAAUCUGCUCAUUUGUAGGAAUGUAGGGCAUGCAGACCAAACCACUGUCCAGUUUUUCUUUUAUGAAGUGUUUGUCCACUUCAACAUGUUUAGUUCGGUCGUGGAGUACUGGAUUAUGUGCUAUUGCAAUGGCAGAUUUGUUGUCACAAUAUACUUUCAUAGGUAGAGAAUUACUUGCCUUAAGUUCUUCAAGAAUUUUUUUGAUCCAAAAAACCUCACAAAUUCCUAGAGCUACUGCUCUAUAUUCUGCCUCUGCACUAUUCCUUGCUACCACAGUUUGUUUCUUGCUGCGCCAAGUGACCAAAUUUCCUCCAACAAAGGUGCAGUAACCAGAAGUGGAUCUUCUAUCGGUUACACUACCAGCCCAGUCAGCAUCAGUGUAGACUUCCACUUGUAGGUGCCCGUUUUUUCUGGACAAAAGACCUUUACCCGGAGAUCCUUUUAAGUAUCUAAGGAUUCUAUAUACAGUUUCAAAGUGUUCUGGUCCUGGAGCAUGCAUAAACUGGCUGACUAAGCUCACUGCAAAGGCUAUGUCCGGGCGUGUAUGUGAAAGGUAGAUUAAUCUACCUACAAGGCGUUGGUACCGAUCUAUGUUGGUCACAUCUUCAAUUUUAGCUGGCUGUAAUUUCAUAUUAGAAUCUAUGGGUGUCUCGGCUGCUUUACAUCCGAGUAGACCUGUCUCUUCAAGCAAAUCAAGAACAUACUUGCGUUGAGACACAACAAUCCCAUCUUUUGAUCUAGCAAACUCCAUGCCCAAAAAAUACUUCAGGCUGCCUAAGUCUUUGAUUUCAAAGUCACGUGCAAGCACUUUCUUUAAUCUGCAAAUCUCAACUAAGUCAUCACCAGUCAAAAUUAUAUCAUCUACAUAUACAAUUAACACGGCUAAUUUCCCUUCAAUAGAAUGUUUGUAAAACAUUGUAUGAUCUGCCUGACUUUGGGAGUAGCCGUGUCCCUUCAUAACAUUACCAAAGCGUUCAAACCAUGCUCUAGGAGACUGUUUGAGCCCAUACAAAGACUUAUGUAGUUUACACACUUUACUGCUGCCAUGAUUUCCCCCAAAACCUGGUGGUAAAUCCAUAAAGACUUCUUCUUCUAGCUCCCCAUUCAGAAAAGCAUUUUUAACAUCUAACCUUCAUAACAUUACCAAAGCGUUCAAACCAUGCUCUAGGAGACUGUUUGAGCCCAUACAAAGACUUAUGUAGUUUACACACUUUACUGCUGCCAUGAUUUCCCCCAAAACCUGGUGGUAAAUCCAUAAAGACUUCUUCUUCUAGCUCCCCAUUCAGAAAAGCAUUUUUAACAUCUAACUGGUAUAGAUUCCAAUCAGAAUGUACAGCCAAUGAGAUAAGGACCCGGAUGGAAUUUAUCUUUGCAACGGGGGCAAAGGUUUCUUGAUAAUCAAUUCCAUAAGUUUGAGUGAACCCUUUUGCUACAAGCCUUGCCUUAUAUCUCUCAACACUCCCAUCAGCAUUACAUUUAAGUGUAAACACCCACUUACAACCCACAGUUUUCUUUUCUUUUGGUAAAUCCACAAUCUCCCACGUACCAUUCUUCUUUAGAGCAUUCAUUUCCUCUAAAACUGCUAACUUCCAAUCUGGAUGGUCUAGGGCUUCUUUUAUGGUUCUAGGAAUUGGUAUCUGAGAGAUUUUUGUGGUAAAGGCUCUUUGUUUAUUGGACAACUUUUCAUAGGAAACAUAUCUAGCAAUGGGGUGCUUAGUACAGGUUCGGAUUCCUUUCCUAUGUGCUAUGGGUAAGUCAAGAUCAGGAAAAAAAAUGCUGGAAUGUUUAGGAGAAGAAAUGUUACCUGAAUUUUCUGAGGAAUCAGUGCUUGGAGGCGACGAUUGAGGCUGUACCGAGUUUAUGGGAGGGUCUUUACUGCUGUGAUGAUACUUUCGAGUAUAAACACGAAGCUCUGGUGGUGGAAUUUUAUCUUGUAGUAUUUCUCCCCCUGUCUCUGGUACAUUAACACUUGGUUCCUGUAGUUCAAGGUUUCCUAGUUUUUCAUUAUUAGAAAUAUCAGUUUUUUGAGUUUGAGUUGAAGUGCCCAGAUCAGGUAAAAAAGGAUUAGGCAUAGGUGUAGAAGUAUGCCAAAGAUUAGGCAUAGGUGUAGAAGUAUGCCAAAAAUGAUCUUCACUAUUUUCUUUCUCCCACUGAAGAGAAUUUUGGCCAAAAAAGGGUUGAUUUUCGAGAAAUAUAACAUCCAUACUGACAUGGAAUUUCUUUGUUUGAGGAUUGAAACAUUUGUAACCUUUUUUAUUAGGAGCAUAGCCCAAGAAAACACAUUUUUCAGAUCUAGGAUCCAAUUUAGAUCUAAGAUGGUUAGGAACAUGAACAAACACAGUGCACCCAAAGACUCUUAACUGAAUAUUGGAGGUAAUCCUACUAGAAGGAUAUAUAAGUGUGAAGUAUUCUAAAGGUGAUUGAUACUUUAAAACACGGGUAGGCAUCCUAUUAAUCAAAUAACAUGCUGUUAAAACAGCAUCACCCUACAAAUAUUUAGGAACAUGCAUAGAGAGCAUGAUAGCCCGACUAACUUCAAGUAAAUGGCGGUUUUUCCGUUCCGCAAUUCCAUUUUGUUGUGGAGUAUCACAACAAGUGGAUGUGUGAAUUAUACCCUUUUCCUUACAAAACACCUCUAGAUAAUUAUUAAAAUAUUCAGUACCAUUAUCUGUAUGGAGUAGGCUUAUUUUUGUUUGAAAAUGAUUUUCAACCAUGUUAUAAAAAUCUUUGAAUAACCCCUCAACUUCAGAUUUUUCUCUCAUUAAAUAAACCCAACAAAGCCGAGUAUGAUCAUCUAUGAAUGUUACAAACCAUUUUUUUCCAGUUAAAGUGUUGAUUUUUGAGGGUCCCCAAACAUCACUAUGAAUUAAAUAAAAAGGUUUUGAGGCACGAUAAGUAAGUGCUUUAUAUGAAAUUCGAUGACUUUUAGAUAAAAAACAACUUUCACACUGAAAAGUAGUACAAUCAACAUUUUUAAAUAAAUCUGGAAACAAAUAUUUCAAAUAAGGAAAGCUAGGAUGUCCUAGUCUAAGGUGCCAAAGCAUUAUUUGAUCCCUAGCAGAGUUUGAACUAAUACUACUGUUCAAACCUUGAGCUUGUUUAUUCCUUGAUAAGUAGUCAUCAAAAUAGUAAAGACCUUCUCGCAAACUAGCACUGCCAAUCAUCGUCCCCAAGUCCCUGUCCUGAAAUUCACAAUGGGAGUCAAAAAAGACAGCACAACAAUUAGAAUCUUUGGUUAAUUUACUGACAGAUAACAGAUUGCAAGAAAGUUUAGGGACAUGUAGCACAUUUUUAAGCUCAAUGGUUCCAGAGAUUUUUAUUGAUCCUUUUCCAGCUAUGGAAGAUAAGCUUCCAUCAGCAACUCUUACCUUUUUGUUACCAGGGCAAGGAUAAUAGGAAUCAAAUAAACUAGAAAUACUAGUCAUAUGAUCAGAAGCACCCGAAUCAAUAAUCCAUGGUGCAGUAGUUGAGUGGCUAAAUAGAGCAUUAAUAAUACUACCUGUUUGGGCUAGUGAACCACUAGGAGUAGCAGUAGUUGAACCACUAGGAGUAGAGGAAAUUUGGUCAGACAUGGUAGGGAAGAGAUCAGAAAGAAAGGGAGCUUAGCUCUGAUACCAUGUGAAAAUAGGUAGAGAAAAAGUUUAUGGAACAAUUCUUAAUUUUAUUACUUCAUGAGAUUGUACACAGUCUUAAUAUAGGGAUACAAGAGACUAAGAAAGGAAAGGAAAAAAAUUAAAGCAGAAUAUUACACACUGAUUUCUAGGAAGCAAUAACUCUAUAUUUACACCAAAUAUACACCUAAAUAUAUAAGGAAAACCAAAUCACAAUUUGAUUUGGUCAACCUUUCAACAUUAUCCAAUAAAUGAAUGACACAACAAUUGGGACUCAACUGUUGGGAUCCAUAAUAUUAUUGUUAUUGUACCAGUAUCUUUUUACGUCUUUUAACUUGAGCUAAUUUUCCAUGUGUGAGAGUCUCCUGGCAAAAGAUUCACGUACCAAAUUAUUGUUAAUUUUUGGCAUUUCUCAUAUUUCAAAAAUAUAGAUGGCUGUCAAUCUAUUUUAAAAAUUUAUCCUUGAGUUUGGUAUUUUAUCAGUGUGAUAUCACAGUUCCUGCACUCGAUGACCGUUAUAGUUGACAUCCACUGCAUUUGACCAUCUGUUUGUGCAAAACUUGUCAUUAUUUAUAGAUUAAGAUUUUUUGUUGAUUUUAAAAUUUUCACAUCAGGCAUUGCAAUUAUUGGGAGAACAAUGAUGUUAGUUGAGUAAUAUCACCAAAGAGAAAAAAGACAGGCUGAAAAUUGUUGUAUCCAUGACUCAUAAAGUACAAGAAAUCUAUAGGACUAGAACAUUAUUUUGAUGAUAUAAAAGUAUAGUGAAUGAGAGCAACUAGUGAUAUCCUUUGUUUCAUAUUUUGGCUUUAUACUAAAGUGGGAGCAUAGAUUUUUGGAAUACCUAGCUUGGAAUCAGGAUAUAUAAUGGUUCUUUUGUGCACAACACUGAUAAGAAUGUCUUGACUUGGAUCUUCUGAUGUGGUAUAAGGUGUAACGCUAGUGAAUAGUAUACGGACUCUAAAUAUUAUACUCCUCUCUGUUGUUAAGUUGCCACAAGGUAGGCCAAUUGCCAAAGGAUAUAAAGACUGAAAAAUUUUAAGAUAAUCAACUCCAUAAGUUUUUGAGUGUAUCCUUCAGCUACUAGUCGGACCUUUAGCCUGUCCAUAGUGCCAUUUUCAAAAGACCUAGAUUUGUGUAAAAAGUUCAAUAGAAGUUCCAUAGACUUAAGAGGCUGUUUUGGGUUAAUCUAAUUUUACUUCAACAGUCCUCUUCAUUCUGUUUGGUAUCAGAUCAAUUGAAAGAAGGCUAGAACAAACAGUUUUUGACCGAAUGUUAGAACCAAGUAAAUUUUGGUUGUUUUUACAUGUUCUUACUUUUGGGAAUGGAGUUUCUGUUGGCCUUCUUAGGAAAAGUUUGUUGGAAAAAAUGCCUUUUUGAUUUUAAAUAUUUUCACUUCAACGGUCCUCCUCGCUAGUUUUCCCAAUGUCCCCAAAUGUUCUGCAACUUGGUGGUGCUACAACAUAAUGAGCUUUCAUUUCUUGUUCAAUAGCCAACCUCGAAUUGGAUGAUGUAUAGCUUUUUGAUAAUUUGUAGGCAAGACGAAGGGAACUAGAAAAACUAUGAACUGAAAUAGAAUGAGCAAAAAAAUACCUUGUAGGUGCUUCUGUCUACAACUGAACCUUUUCUAAGAGCAGCAUGAAAAUCAAGAUGAAAAAUUUUAGUUGUAGCUUGAUGAGGAUGAUCCCAGAUGGAGGUAGUCUCUUGAAUGGAGGAUUGGGCUAAAGGAGAAGGAUCACCUCGUUAGUAGGUUGCUGUUUAGUUUUCCUACAGGAACAUACUAAAAGACAAAAAACACAAACUCCAAUGCACAUAUGUACCUGUAUGGUUUUAUCUAUUGAAACAACUGGAGGAAGAAUUUCAACAGAGCCAAAAAUAAAUUCAGGUUCCAGAAUGUGAAAAUAAGGAUAUGGAACAUGUUAUAUCAGCACUAGCAUGAGUUUCCUGAGAAGUGUGAUUAAGAAACUUUAUCUUUUUGUGUCCUGGAAUAACCAAGAAAGAUACUGUUGAAUCUUUAAUGGCUUAACGAGUCAAUUCUUCAAGAACUUGAUGAACUGAACCAGAUUAAAGCUAAUCCGAACAGCGAACACAGAACCCAGAAUCAAGAACAAACAGAAUAACCUUGUUUCACACAGCCAAGAUUAGAAGGAAAAACCCACUCGUUUUAUUGAUCAAAACACUUAAGAUACAAAGUGGACCUACAGAAGAGAUUGCAAAGGUUACAAAGAAACAAAUCCUAUGCAAUUUGGUCAACAAAUGAAGAAGAUAACAAGUUCAUAUCAGGCGCUGUUCAUCAGCCCCAUUUAUUCUGAUAUUUCCGGGCAAGCAGAUUCAGCGUAAAAUAUUAAUAAGACCCCAUCAACUAAAGUCAACCUCACAAUGACCCCGUAAGUUCUUCAUGAUUUGCAUUUGAGUCCAAAAACUCAGGUGCUAACAUCUUCACAGAUACAUUUGGUUGACUUAGGGAAAGUCUAUAAGGUAUAACAUGGACAAGGCAAACGACCAAAUAUACAUUGUGAGAAAGAAAGUAGAGUUUUGUUGUGAAAUAAAAUAAAAUAUGCUGCUCCAAAGUUAAGUGAUGAUCGUAGUAGUCUUGUUUAUUAGUAGCAAGCAGUGAGAAGAGCUUCUCCAAAAUCUUCAUGGGACAAUUUUAUGGAGAAGAAUAGUUCUUGAUGUCUAACAAUGCCUAUAAUUUAUUUCAGCUACUCCAUUUUCCAAUGGAGUUGAGGACAGGAAUUUUGAAGUAUCAUAUUUUGAAGUUGGAACUGACAAUAUUCUAGGGCAAUUGAUUACAAAGAGUUUCAUCAGAAACAAUGGUGGAGUCUUUAUUUCAAUAAAAGUGUAGUUUUUGUUUUGAUAAAUAUUUAUUAGUAAAAUAUGAAAUUGUCCCAUGAAGAUUAGUAAAAUAUUUAUUUGUAAAAUAACCAUGUAGUUUGUUAAUGAUUAUCAAGACAAAAUAUUUAACCACAUGGAAGUUAUGAACUAUUCAGGGACCUAAGGACCGAGUGUCUGAAAAAAUUGUGAUGCACAGUAAUUCUAUUAACUCAUGAGGGACAUGAAGAUGUUUUCCUAGUUGACAAAACUAGAAUUGCCUAACCUAUUUCACCAAAUGAUGAAACAGUUGAGGGCGAGGAUGACCUAAUAGGUAAUGCCAUUGUUCUGAAGAAACCACUGAGAAAAGAAAAAGUGUGCUGGAUAAUAAACAUGGUGCAGAAAUCUGACAGAGUCCGUUUAUCUCAUUUCCUUCACCAGUUUGUCUUUCUUGUAUCAAGAUCUUGAAAAUCACCAUUAGAUGAUAAAAAAAGAAAAGGAUUGAAAAUUUCUUUAGCUGACUUAGUAACAGAGAAAUUGAAAAUUUAGGGACAGAGAACUGAGGAAACAGAAAUGAUAGAAUUGACAAAAAUUGUUCCUACUCCUGAACUGGCCACUUAUGCCAUCUGCCAAGACUACUAAGGGUGCUUUGUUGGAAGGAAAAUAAAAACUAAAUUUGGAGUGGUAGCAGUCAUAUAAGAUGAAUUACCAGUGUCCAUUACCCAAGGAAUAGGAUCGGAAGUUGCACUUGAAGUAUUGAUGAUUGGCUUCCUCAUAUGGGUUCACAUGAGUUUGUUAAAUAAAAGUAGAAGCAGGAGUUGUCAGUGCAGAGGGAUUUUCUCUUUUUCAAUGAGAAGUUGAAUUUUCAUUUUAUAUAAUAGUGGAUCUGAUCAUAGUCAACGUUGUAACUGAAACCCAGGUGCUACGACAAAUGAAAAAGGGAUGCAGUGAUACUAAAAUCCUGUCAAAAACCAACCACUAAAAGAUUGACAAUCUCUCAGCCUCAUCAUAAGUUUUACAUGUCAACAAAUCUAUGGUGCGUUUAUUUGCUGGAGUAGUAAUGGGGAGUGUAGAUUUUUCCUACUCUGGUGUUUACUUGCGCAUUUAAGGAGAGUAAGAGUCCCAC